UUUCUGGUGGUCCAGUGGUUAGGACUUGGCACUUUCACUGCCAUGGCCCUAGGUUCAAACCCUAGUAGGGGAA
rnacentral:tRNA from 1 species